rnacentral:rRNA from 1 species
GAUGAACGCUGACAGAAUGCUUAACACAUGCAAGUCUUUGGCGAAGCUGUGCUUGCACAGCCUAGCCAAGGCGGACGGGUGAGUAACGCGUAAGGAAAUUGCCCUGCAGUCAGGGAUAACAGACGGAAACGACUGAUAAGACCCGGUAAAGUCAGGCGGACUCAUGUCCAGCCUGAUGAAAAGAGAUGCUGCAGGAGAGCCUUGCGUCCUAUUAGCUUGUUGGUGGGGUAACGGCCCACCAAGGCGAUGAUAGGUAGGCGGCCUGGGGGGGUGGACGGCCACAAGGGGACUGAGAUACGGCGAUUACUCCGAGGGGAGGCAGCGGUGGGGAAUACUGGACGAUGGGGGCAACCCUGAACCAGCGAUUCUGCGUGCACGAUGAAGGUUUUCGGGUUGUAAAGUGCUUUCAGCAGGGAAGAAAAAAAUGACGGUACCUGCAGAAGAAGCGACGGCUAAAUACGUG